UCCAUACUGGAGUACUACAAAAUACUAGCGUGAACUCUCCGUCAAAUUAAUUAACUUACAGGUUCUCAAAAAAGAAAUUAUAUACGAAAAAGUCUGAAAAAUAGAAACUAUGUGUGCCCUCCCCACCUAUUUCCAAAAGCAGUUUAUAGGGUUCGUAUUCUUUUCUUUUCAAUCUCUUUACAAACAAAGAAACAAUGAAAAUUUUCCAGAUCUUGUCACUUUGAUUGCAAAAUCUUUACAUAAUUAGAUUUAAGGAAGGGGGCAGAGGGCAGAGGGCAGAGGGCGGAGUGCAAGAGCAGUUCUGGCGGCAUCUCGUUCUGCAUCUUCUUCUACUGCAUCGCCGCUCUUCUUGAGGGAUCGUGAAUUCCAUGGGUCUCAAGGGAGUUUGCGAUGUGAAUUCUUGGAGGAUUCACAAGCUCUUUCAUAUUUGUUACACUGCUCAUGUUCAUUUAAAAUAGUCAAGAAAUAAUUGAUAUCAUACCAAGAUGCAGAGCUGCUAAGAUGCAGAGCUGGGAAGUGGGUACCAACAGGGGAUAAUGCACAAGAAGGUGUAUAUAUAAAGCAAACUACUCAUAGAUAUGAAAGAAUGUCGAUUGUCCAUCACUUAUUCAGGAGCAUUAUACUUGUACCUUAUUUUUAGUUUGUCAUUUUUCAAUACUUUAUAUGGUUGAUGUUAUUACUAAAGCUAUUAGCUUGUAGGUUUUGUAUAAAUUUUCAUUGUUUGUUGAUAUGUUGACUGUUAUGGAAGUAAUAUUUAAUCAGAAUUCUUUUUCUUUUA